GGGGAUGUAGCUCAGUGGCAGAGCUCUUGCUUUGCACGCAUGAGGUCCCGGGUUCGAUUCCCGGCGUCCCCC
rfam:Cricetulus griseus cell line CHO-K1, whole genome shotgun sequence.